AUUGAACGCUGGCGGCAUGCUUUACACAUGCAAGUCGAACGGCAGCACGGGGGCAACCCUGGUGGCGAGUGGCGAACGGGUGAGUAAUAUAUCGGAACGUACCCGGAAAUGGGGGAUAACGUAGCGAAAGUUACGCUAAUACCGCAUAUGCCCUAAGGGGGAAAGCGGGGGAUUCGCAAGAACCUCGCGUUUUCGGAGCGGCCGAUAUCGGAUUAGCUAGUAGGUGAGGUAAAGGCUCACCUAGGCGACGAUCCGUAGCUGGUCUGAGAGGACGACCAGCCACACUGGAACUGAGACACGGUCCAGACUCCUACGGGAGGCAGCAGUGGGGAAUUUUGGACAAUGGGCGGCAAGCCUGAUCCAGCCAUGCCGCGUGAGUGAAGAA
rnacentral:rRNA from 1 species